UUUCUUCCCAUGAGGAAAAAAAAAAUUAGUUCAACCACUAUAUCAUGGCCGGAAAUCAGAGAGCUGAUGUGCAAAUCUUCCUGCUCCUCCACAGGCCUCAACACAUCCAUUCACUUAAACAGGGAAAGGCUAUGGCACACACCCACUAAAUACUCAAAGAAUAUCCCAAAAAAUGUUUACUGAACUGCAAAUGAAUGUUGACUGGUGUGGAUGGCAGAUUGCCAGCUCCUAAUCUUCUUUGCUAAAGAUUGGCACACUGUGAAUAGUUGUUGCCCAUCUAUUAAAUGGCUAUUAGAGAUACGUCCUCCUGUUGCUCGUGGCAGAAUAACUGGUCAGGAGGAAUCUAAAACAGCAUUUAUGACCCCUCCCAAAGCCCUGGAGAAGGCAUGGUAAUUGCCUUCUUGAUCUGCUACAGUUCUUUUGGAGAGGUUGUUGCUAAGGGAGAUCCAGGAUUUUGACCCAAUGACACUGAA